rnacentral:rRNA from 1 species
NCGNAAUUAAGCGUGCUUGGGCGAGAGUAGUACUAGGAUGGGUGACCUCCUGGGAAGUCCUCGUGUUGCACCCCU